rnacentral:rRNA from 1 species
UCAGCCGCCGCGGUAAUACCAGCUCUCCGAGUGGUGUGGACGUUUAUUGGGCCUAAAGCAUCCGUAGCUGGCUGAACAAGUCCCCUGUUAAACCCACCGAUUUAAUCGUUGGCGUGCGGGGGAUACUGCUUGGCUAGGGGACGAGAGAGGCAGACGGUAUUCCCGGGGUAGGGGUGAAAUCCUAUAAUCCCGAGAAGACCACCAGUGGCGAAGGCUGUCUGCUAGAACGCGCCCGACGGUGAGGGAUGAAAGCUGGGGGAGCGAACCGGAUUAGAUACCCGGGUAGUCCCAGCUGUAAACGAUGCAGACUAGGUGUUUGGACGGCCACGUGCCGUUCUAGUGCCGCAGGGAAGCUGUUAAGUCUGCCGCCUGGGAAGUACGGUCGCAAGGCUGAAACUUAAAGGAAUUGGCGGGGGAGCACAA